AAGAAAAGGAUCCUCCACUGUAUAUCCUGUGCUGAGGGAGAGACACAUACUACAAGGAGAGUGCCCCAAAGGGUUCAGAUCAUAGGCUGGGUUCAAAUACCUUGUGUGCCUUCAUGAGGGAAAUUAAUUUUUUUCAGGUUAAAUUUAUUCAUUCUAAAGGAUGGACCUUUGUGGGUUCUCAACUUCUGGAGUGCAACUAUAUGUCUUUUUUUUUUUGCUUGUCACCUUUUCUAUACACAUGCAACCUCUUCUUCAGCAUGAAGAAACUCUGGGAGCAAUGGAAGAGUCACUCUUUGAUGUUACUCAGGAAAAAUGCAUAAGUAAUCCAGGAACCUUAUAAUGUAGGCUCAACUAUCUACACUGCACAAUGAAGUUUUCUUAGGCUUUUUCCCCUUGUCUUCAUAUACUUGGCCUGCUUGGGUGUGCACAGCCAUGCAGUGAUGAUAGACAAAUGAGAAUGAGCAAAAGCCAUGGUGGAAAAUCUUGUGGUCUCAUGGAGUUAAUGUUCUGAAGGAGACAUCCAGGUAGACAAAAAUCAAGAGCUCUUUUCUACAGGUUUUCUAUCACUCUGAUUCAUGUUAAUGAACUU
rnacentral:lncRNA from 1 species